AAUGGCCUAACGGCUGAACCAGCAACUUGGAGGAAUGUAUAGCAAUUGCUAAUUGCAUCAAUAUUAUAUUGGUGCAAUAUCGACUUAGUCGAAUAAAAUUCUGGGUAGAACUAUGAUAAUGACAUUAUUUACCUAUGUGUCUUGACCAAAUUACGUGCCAGCAGUCGCGGUAAUACGUAGAAGACUAGUGUUAUUCAUCUUUAAUAGGUUUAAAGGGUACCUAGACGGUAAAUAAAGCCUUAAUUGGGACUGAUUUACUAGAGUUACAUGUGAGGGAGUUUUAACGUACUAGAGGUGAAGAGAUGAAAUUCUGUCAUACCUUUUUUCUUUAGAAAAAACUUGGCACAGGUAUAGGUGAAAACAUCUCCUUAUGUAAUAACUGACGUUGAGGGACGAAGGCUCUUUAUCGCAAACAGGAUUAGAUACCCUGGUAGUCAGAGCAGAAAAUGAUGAGUGUCAUAGAUUAGAUAAUUGUUUAUUCUAUAAAUGAAAGUGUAAGCACUCCACCUCAAGAGUAAUUUGGCAACAUUGGAACUGAAAUCAUUAGACCGUUUCUGAAACCAGUAGUGAAGUAUGUUGUUUAAUUUGAUAAUCCACAAAGAACCUUACCACAACUUGAAUGUUUAUGUUUAUAACAUAGAUACAAGCGUUGCACGGCUGUCUUCAGUUAAUGUCGUGAGACUAUGGUUAGUUCCAUUAAAUUAACGUAAACCCUUGCUUUAUUUUUAAAUAGAGCAGUUCUCCAC
rnacentral:rRNA from 1 species